rnacentral:rRNA from 1 species
AAUAGGCUAAUUAAGAGCGUAAGGGGAAUGCCUUGGCUCUCAGAGGCGAUGAAGGACGUGAUAAGCUGCGAUAAGCUGUGGGGAGUGGCACAAACACUUUGAUCCGCAGAUUUCCGAAUGGGGUAACCCGGCAUAUUGAAGAUAUGUCACACUGUAAAGUGAGCGAACCUGGUGAACUGAAACAUCUAAGUAACCAGAGGAAUAGAAAACAAAAGUGAUUCCGCUAGUAGUGGCGAGCGAACG